rnacentral:misc_RNA from 1 species
GAUGAAGAACGCAGCAAAAUGCGAUAAGUAAUGUGAAUUGCAGAAUUCAGUGAAUCAUCGAAUCUUUGAACGCACAUUGCGCCCCCUGGUAUUCCGGGGGGCAUGCCUGUUCGAGCGUCAUUUCACCACUCAAGCCUCGCUUGGUAUUGGGCAACGCGGUCCGCCGCGUGCCUCAAAUCGACCGGCUGGGUCUUCUGUCCCCUAAGCGUUGUGGAAACUAUUCGCUAAAGGGUGCUCGGGAGGCUACGCCGUAAAACAAACCCAUUUCUAAGGUUGACCUCGGAUCAGGUAGGGAUACCCGCUGAACUUAAGCAUAUCAAUAAGCGGAGGA